UACGUAGGGUGCAAGCGUUAAUCGGAAUUACUGGGCGUAAAGCGUGCGCAGGCGGUCUGUUAAGACAGAGGUGAAAUCCCCGGGCUUAACCUGGGAAUGGCCUAUGUGACUGGCAGGCUAGAGGAUGGCAGAGGGAGGCGGAAUUCCACGUGUAGCAGUGAAAUGCGUAGAGAUGUGGAGGAACACCGAUGGCGUGAGGCAGCCUCCUGGGCCAAUUCUGAC
rnacentral:rRNA from 1 species